rnacentral:sRNA from 1 species
ACCUUAAGCCUAAAAACAAAUAUCAGAGAACUCUGUGCAGUUCGUAGGUUUCCUUCUGUGAGUCCUUUGGUUUUAUUUUCCUUUCAUAAUUGUGUUUUGAGUAUAUAAGACUGAGACUGUGCUUGUGUGUGUGUGUGCACAUCAGAUUAAAAAUGUGUUUGUGAGUGUAUGUCUAGGUUCUCCUUUGGACUUUUAUGUUAGAGGGUCUCACGAAUUCCG